GUGCUCACUUCGGCAGCUCAUAUACUAAAAUUGGAAUGAUACAGAGAAGAUUAGCAUGGCCCCUGCACAAGGAUGACAUGCAAAUUCGUGAAGCGCUCCAUAUUUUU
rnacentral:snRNA from 1 species